AACAUCUCCUAAAGCAGCAUCGGCUAAUACCACCGACUCUUGCUCACACAGCUCGUUCUCUGCAGCUGCCGCACAUAGCUAGUGAACGACCAUGGCGUCCCAGGCCAUCGAGAGCCACCGUGCCGGUGCUGAGGUCGUCACCGGAGGAGACGCCAUCUGCAGGAAGAAGUCAAUCGAGCUGCUGGAGGAGCUCGGCCUCCCCAAGGGCUUCCUGCCCCUUGAGGACAUCCAGGAGUUCGGGUACAACCGCGAGACAGGGUUUAUGUGGCUGGUGCAGGGGAAGAAGAAGGUGGAGCACACCUUCAAAAAGAUCAAGCAGACCGUGUCGUACGCCGCUGAGGUGACGGCAUUCGCCGAGAAGGGCAAGCUGAGAAAGAUCACCGGCGUGAAGACGAAGGAGCUGAUGUUCUGGCUCAGCGUCGUCGAGGUGUACGUCCCCGAGGCCUCGCUAGAGAAGGUUACCUUCAAGACUGGCACUGGCCUAUCCGACACCUUCGAUGCCUCUGCCUUUGCGCUGGGAGAGUAAUUAGCAGUCAUAAAAAUGGUUGGCUUCAAAAGACAUGCAUAAUCUAUCUUUUGUAUUUGUAAAAUUUUCAUAUAUAUUGAGAUGAGUUUGUGGUACUCAUGAGCGAUGCCCAUUGAAACAUUUCUAUGAAAUUUCUUGUUUAUCAGAUAGUUUUCUUUUAAAAUAUCUCACUUCAAAACAUUAAAAAUAAACGUCCCCGUAUUCAUAGAUGAGUUUUUAUAUUGGAGCAUAUAGGUACGUAUUUAUUACUGUUGAGUUUGUGAUCCAAAUUCUGAAGAAGGCGGCCAAGUUAGCGAGCGAAGCGGAGGCCCGUCGCCCAAAAGUCGGAGGUAUAGCUAUAUCUAAGGCUACAUACAUACUUGCAAGUAUUAUGCAGUGUGUGAGGCUACAACACCUACCAACUAUGUUGGACACGACAAUGUAGGACAUUGCUAUAGUCAAGCUUGAGGCAGCAGUAUACCAUGAGUACUAUAUAGUGUGUGCACCUAUAGCAACUACCAAAGGCGCUUACAAUACAACAACUAUGAUAAAAUGGGAGUAGUUUGACUUUUGGUGGGUGAGGCACGCCAUCGAGGCAGGAAUGUAACUCUCCACUAUCUUGUGAUAUAAAGAGAAGUCAUAAAGCAACGUAGAAACCAGACACAUUUCCAUUUAGGUCACGAAGGUUGCAUCCAAGUGUCAUGACCAGGGCUAAGAACACACUAGAGUCGCAACUCGCAAGGGCUACUUUAGGUUGCAACCGCCAAAGUCCAGAAGUGUUGAAGUGCAUGUUUCUAGAUCCUCUCGUUAGCUCAGUUAUCAACUAAAUAUGACAACCUUUCGUAUUUGCUUCUAUACAUAUAUCGUACAAAAAAUAUAGGGUAUUACGCUCAGAUGGCCUAAAACUAUUUAUAUGAUAUAUGUGAAAACUAUCGUGUUAGUGUUUUAUGGCUAAGCUUACAUCUUUUCUCUGAUUUUCUUUGGUACCCUUGGUAUCAUGGUGUCGUAUCCCAUGGUAGUAGCCAUCUAGUCUAAUUAAAUAACGGCUCACAAGCAUUUGGGUGUACCACAACAAAGAAGUUAUGUCAAGAUCAAAGCAUACAAGAUUUGCUAAAGGGGAGAGAUUUUGAAAUAAAAUGACAUCAUCUAACAUGUUAAUUACCGUAGCACAAAAGCUGGGCAAAACGUUGUUGAUCUGGCUCAGAUCGUUCGUUGUUGAUUUUGGUAAUCUGGUCAAUCUGGCAGAAAAGAAAUACAAGAAUCUUAUAUCGCAGAUUCUCGAGUUGGCAGCAAAAUGUUAUAAAAAAUUAAUUAUGAGGUGGCGACCUAGAAGGUGGCAGGGGCCAGACACUUGUCAGUCCCCUUAUCCUUUUCUUAGAUGCUUUAUUAACUGUGGGUUGCUUUUGUUUCUUGCUUUCAUCGGGCUAGUGCCCACGAUCUUAGACUUGUUGAUUUAAACCCUUUUAGCCUAUCAUUUUCCUCCUUAUCAAUAUAUUAGGUAGAUUUCCUGCCUAUUUCAGAAAAAGCUGGACAAAGAUUUUUUAAUGUCGGAUCCACACUCUCUAACUCUUCAAGUCAUAGUCUGAAUUGUUGUCUCCUCGUUUAGAGAAACUCCAAUAAUUCUCUAAAUCUUAAAUUUAAAAAGUGAAUAGAAAAACGCUUCUCUAAUAGUUCUUGAAAUGGACUUGCUAAAUUUAGUUAUUUGCUAUCCAACCUCAUUUACUCUCCAGAUUUGGCAGCUCGAUAACAACUCUCUAAACGCAGUUGUCGCCGAUUUCUUCACACCUACGUGUUCAUUUUCCCUUUUCCCACACAACGACUAGCCAGGCCCGACGUGCUCUUUUUGUAUUGUCGCGAGGCAGCCAUGUUCGACACGCAUGAAACAACCUUCUCCUCUGUCGUCACACAAUCGGUCACCCAUAGGUCACGUCACCGGACUAUCACUUCCCAGUGGGAGCAGGUCUAGCAAAACUAAAUUCAACGGGAGUAGGCCUAUGAGAAAUUGUUGGAGGCCAAACUAUUUUUUACUCUCAAUAGCUAUUUAGCAACUUGCUAAACAUAAGUUUAGAGAGCUUUUUAAUAGAGAACUAUUAGAGUUACUGAAAAGGCUAAAACCAAUGUUUCAGUUAAGAAAGCUUUCAAUGCUAACUUCUGCUUAUGUGCCUUUUAGACCACACAUCCUCUUGAGUACAAGGAACACUUAUCUUUCAAGUUCAUGUAAUAGUAAAUGAUGUUUGCCAUCUUUUCAUGUGUGAUGCCAAUACAUGACCGCUAAAACCGCAUGGCUUCUUUAACUGAAACUGUAUUUUUUCCCUCACUGUUUGCAUAGUCAACAACAUCCAAACCUCACCAAUAAUCUACUAUAACAAUUUGUACCACAUCAAACUGUAGCAGUUCUCAACAAACAAAAGCAGAAAAUAAAGGGAGAAAAACGCAGACCACAACAUGUCUGCCCAUGCAUCAAGUGCUGAAAGUGAGUAUUGUAUGUCGCCCGUUGCGUUCUAGAGUCAGGUGAAGACUUGAUUCGACUUCGGCAUUACAGAACUUUCUUAAGUUAAAAAAUGUCCUUUUCUUUCUUAUACUAGUGAGCUUGCUCAGAAGGUAUAUGUUCUGAUUUAAAACAUGAGAAGAGAAGCAGGGCAUAGCAAAAUCCAAAGUUCAGGAGCGUCAAUCUUGACUUCGUUUGCCACAAAAGAAAUUCAGGGGUGGCAAUGUGGACUUUGUCAAAUUCGACGCUCUCUGCCAACGAAGUCAAAUAGGACUGCCCGUCUCUAUAGGAGCUGCAUGCCUAUAUAAAUGUGUUGCAGCCCCUUCUCCCAUCACACAAACAUUUCAUCGCCUCCUAAAGCAGCAUCGGCUACUACCACCGACUCCUGCUCACACAGCUCGUACUGUGCAGCACAUAGCUAGUGAACGACCAUGGCGUCCCAGGCCAUCGAGAACCACCGUGCCGGCGCUGAGGUCGUCACCGGAGACGCCAUCUGCAGGAAGAAGUCAAUCGAACUGCUGGAGGAGCUCGGCCUCCCCAAGGGCUUCCUGCCCCUCGUGGACAUCCAGGAGUUCGGGUACAACCGCGAGACAGGGUUCAUGUGGCUGGUGCAGGGGAAGAAGAAGGUGGAGCACACCUUCAAAAGGAUCAAGCAGACCGUGUCGUACGCCACUGAGGUGACGGCAUUCGCCGAGAAGGGCAAGCUGAGGAAGAUCACCGGCGUGAAGACAAAGGAGCUGAUGCUCUGGCUCAGCGUCGUGGAGGUCUACGUGCCCGAGGCCUCAUCGGAGAAGGUUACCUUCAAGACUGGCACUGGCCUAUCCGACACCUUCGAUGCCUCUGCCUUUGCGCUGGGAGAGUAAUUACCAGCCACAAAAAUGGUUGGCUUCAAAAGACAUGCAUAAUCUAUCUUUUGUAUUUUAAACUUCCAUAUAUCUUGUGAUGAGUUUAUGACCCAUAAUCAAGGGCCGUGCCCAUUGCAGACAUUUCUAUGUAUUUCCUUGUUUAUCAUAUAGUUUUUAAAUAUCUCACUUCAAAACAUUAAAAAUAAAUGUGCUUGUAGUCGUAGCUUACUAGUCGGUUGCCUGUGCGUUGCGACGGCUUACAACAAUAACCACGUAAACUAUCCACAAAAAAAAAAUUCAAGAUUUUUUAUUGAUUAUCUCCGCUCUCCAUAUAGUAUUUUUGAUUUGGCUAACUGAUGUUAUUGUUUACUACAUGCAAUAUGUCUUAGUACAACACGACCAAUGAAGUGAGCGAUUAGAAUAGAGUUCACAACGACUAUAGAUGUUCAAACGGACCGGGCUUGCCGGGCAGCCCGAAACCUGGCACGGGUUUGGCCCGGCACGAACCCGGCACGACACGUAGUGAACCUGGCCCGUGCCGGACCGGCCCAGUCACCGGGUCGUGCCUGGGCCGAAGGCGUGGCACGACGGGCUAGGCCUGACACAGGCCGAUUUUAUUUUUUUAUUUUUUCAUAUAAAUAUAUGUAUUAUAUUUAAUAUAGAGUAUAAAACAAAAGAAACAUGUGUUUUUGUUGGUUAUGUGGGUGUAAAUAAAUGUUUAGAGCUAAUAAAUAUGGUUUAAAUCCUCAAAAAUGCAUACUUUUAGGACAUUUUUAUCAUUUAAACGUCAUAUAUUGUUAUGAGCCCGUUAGGCCCGUCGGGCCCUGGACCGGCCCGACACGAUUAUUAACCUAGCGGGUCGUGCUUGGGCCUCGCUUGGGGCCGUGGGCCGGCACGGCAUGACCCACUAGCUAAUUUGGGCCGAGUCGACACGGUCCUAAUCUGUGUCGGGCCUAGUCGUGCUCGGACCGGUCCGGCACGGCCCGCCCAUUUGGACAUCUAUAACAACGACUGACUAAACGAACAUAGAUUAUAAAAUGACAUAAUUCCACCAUAAAGAGACCAAAUAAGAGAAAGUUUGUGAACUCAAGUUUCUAAAAUAAGUCACAUGAACUCAAACUUAAAAAAAGAUAUAUCAAAAUAUGGAGUGAUUGUUAAAGUCAGACAUCAAUAAAAGCUGGAUGUGCUCCAUAUAAAUAUGCUACUUCGUAGCAAUUACUAACGUUUAAAACCAACAAAUAACCUAUCAUUUUACUGUUAGUGUGACAAAUCAUUGUUGCUCUAUCCAAUUCAGCAACCUCAAACACCAUGAGGUCCAUUGCGACAAUGUGGUCUCAGAAACGACCUAAUGUUUGCAAGAGCCAAGAACGUCAUGUCGUGCUUGGGUUGUAGCCUCGGCCCGUAGUGCUGGCCUGGUCCGACAUGAUUAUAUAUUUUUUUAUUUUACAAAAAACGUAUAUACAUAUAUACAAUUUAUAUUCAAUAUUAAAAAUAUCUGAGCAUUAUGUUCUACUGGUUAGACAACUUCAUCCAGUGUCUCUCGCCUUUCUUCUAUCAGGGCAUGGGUUCAAAUCCCACCUCCUGCACCGUUUUUUAACAUUUUGCGCUGAUUUAAUGGGCCGACGGGCUAACGGGCUAGCCCGGCACAGUCAGCAGGCCGACAUGACGUGCCUGGGCCACAACGCGGGCGUCGGGCCCAUGCCGAGCCGCCGUUUGACCAUCUAUAGGCGUGCAACAAAUUAAUUUGAAAUAGCUGUGAUGGGUUAUUUGUAAAAAGAUAACGUGGGACGACCUUUGAAACUGGUGCUUUAAAUAUAGUAUAGAUAUUGGAGCAGAUGGCUUUGUAUUUAUCACAAGGCUUGUCCUAUUUUUCACCAGUGAUAAUGUUGCGUUCAAAAUCAAUCGUAUAGCUACAUCUAAGGCCACAUACAUACUUGCACGCACUACGUGUGUUGUCUUAGUAAUUCUCAUAAAUGUAAGAGCGGUAGACGGCAAGCUCUGAAAGCUCACGCUCGCGUCGCUCCCACGCGGGGCGACAUAGGUGGCUCCCAAGCCUGCCGCCGCUUUCCCUCUCUUCUCUCCUGCCACGCCGCCGCGGAGCUGGCCACCCGUAUGGCCAUCCGGGCGAUAGGGAUGGUGGCGGCGAGGCUCUCUUCCUCGCGUUGGUGGCGCACCACGCAGCAAGCCGACAAGCCAUCCCUCGCGCUGCUGCGUGGAGUUGACGAGGGUGGCUGCUGCGGCUGUGGCGGCGCCGGCUAGUGCGCCCCCGCAGCUAUAGUGGGACGGCGGCGGGCUCUCUUUCUUUUUUCCCCAUGUGUUCCCCUCCUACUUUCUUGACGGCGGCAACAGCUCAACCUGUGGUCGCUAGCCCUGGCCCAGGCAGUCGAAUCUGAUGCCUGGGGCCGGAUCUGGACCCUGGCGACCGGAUCUGCCUCGGUAGCUGGCAGUAGGUGCGGUGGCGGCCGGUGGCGGUUGCGUUGGAGGCGGCUGGUUGGGGUUUGUGCAAGUGUUGUGGGGCGGCACACUCUUCUUUGCCACCCCUCCCCUCACGGUCUUGACUGCUGUUGUGGUCGAGGCGGCAACCUCCUUCGGCCGGCCAGCCUACGGUGUUCGGGCGGUGGCUUUGACGACAGCCCAGGGUGGUGCUCGCGGUUGUGGUCCGCACGGAGGCGGCGACGUCUGCAGGGGCGCCGAUUUUGGGACCUGCCAUCCAGAUCCGGUGGCCUCAGGGCAGGGGGCGACGCUCGAGAUGGAGGGGCACACGUCCUAUGGUUGUUGGUGGAUGAUGGUGACGACAUCGGCAGGUGCCGUGGCCGACGACGUUGGUCAUUUGUGGCCUCGGCGUGCGGCCUUGUGAAACUGCGAUGGUGGUGGCAUGACGCUUCGCCGUCGGCGUGGCGGUGCUUGAGGUCACACGUUUGUGAGGGGCGACGCCGGCGAGUGGUCGAGAUGGCGCAAGGUGGUGGUGGAGGUGGCAGGGUGUCCGACAACAUCUAGAUUCGGUGGCCGCGUGUGCUAGUGCCAUCGGCUGCCGGGUGCGGCUCUGGCACACGCCUGUGUGACACAUGUGGUAUGGAGGACGGCGACGACAGUAGCUCUUGGCCUGACGUUGGUGCUGGGUCUUCUUGGGCGAGAGCCUCGGCGACGGCGACGCCCGUGGGCACCGCUUCCCCUAUUGGGGGCGUCAUAUUCCUCAUCAUUUUCUUCCUUGGGCGAAAGCCUGGUCCAUCUCGGACUCGCGACGGUGUCGUCCCCAACGUCACUCCCUUUUUGAUGGCGUCACAUUGAAGUUUGUCUCGGCCUCGUCUUCGCCUUCGAUGGUUGCUUUCGAUUCUCGACGUCUGGUAUGCGGGUGAAGAUGGGGCUUUGCAAUGUGAAGUCGAAGCUGUUGCAUCAGGGGUUGUGGCUCAGCAACGAUGACAGCUGACGAGCCCCCUUCUUCGUGGACUGGAUUGUUUCGAAGGGUCAUGGAUCUACUAGGGUAGGACGGAGGUUCAAACUCGUUGGUGAAGAAUCAGAGUUGUCUCACGUGGGGUGUGUUGAGGCUUGGCAACGACGGCGCACACGAUCUUCCUCCUUCUAUACUGGUGUUUGGUUGUAGACGUCGUCGUGUUUUCUUUGGCCAUGUGCGGCCCGUCUUGCGGAAUCAGAGCUGUUUGUCUCUUGGGUCGGGCUCGGCAACGAUAACUCUGAAUGGGUUGUGUGUGAGGGGCUCCUGUUGUCGGGGAUGUUUGUGCAUUCUGUAGGCAGUGACUGUUGUGCCGUGUUGAUGUCCCAAUCUAAUUGGCGAGUUUGGUGUGUUGGUGUCCCAAUCCAACCGUAUGUUGUUUUGUUGCUCUGUUCGAUCCGGACCCUUCUCCUUUAUUAAUAUAAUCAGCAGCUCUCCUGUCUGGCUCGUUUCAAAAAAAAAUGAUAAAUGUCUGAUCUGCACUCUCUAACUCUUCAAGUCAUAGUCUGCAUUGUUGUCUCCUCGUAAAGGACAAAAUCAAUGUUUCAGUUAAGAAAGCUUCCAAUGCUUACUUCUUCUUAUCUACAUUUUAGACCACACAUCCUGUUGAGUACAAGGAACACUCGUCUUUCAAGUUCAUGUAAUAGUAUAGGAUGUUUGUCAUCUUUUCAUGUAUGAUGCUUAUAGAUGACUGCUAAAACUGAAUGGGCUUCUUUAUCUGAAACUGUAAUUUUGUUCUCACUGUUUGCAUAACCAACAGCAUCUAAACCUUACCAACAAUCUACUGUAAUAGGUAUGUACUGCAUGAUACUAAAUAUGCUAAAUCAAUAAUUAUUUUAGGAAAAACGGCAGACCACAACAUGUCUGUGAGUCUGUCCAUGCAUCAAGUGCUGAAAGUGAGUAGCGUCUGACGACCGUUGGGUUCUAGAGUCAGGUGAAGUGUUGAUUCGCCUUCGACAUUGAGAGCGUUGCUUCGAAGACAACAGACCAUAGCUCGACGAAUUGGAUGAUCUUCUCUGUGCUAGACUGGUAGUCGUUCACCGCAUGCCUUCCAUCCAGCUUGUAAGAAUUCCCGGGUUUUCCUCCACGCUAUGUGGAGUGAUCUGUCAUGCUAGAAGGAGAUUUUGUUGCCUCUUGCGGUCUUGCCGUUUCCUACCUUGAUCGAGGCCAGUUAUGAACAGAUGUUAAGUCACCAAGCCGGCGUGUUGUUUGAAGAAUGCUAUAAACUCUGCUUCAAUCAUAAGGGAGAAUGUGAUUCAGUCGAGUAAGAGUGUGCAUUGUUUGACCUCUCUACUGAAUUGUUCUAUUUUUGUUGGCUGGGCUCCAGUGAUUCAUUCGGAUGGAUACGAAGAGAAAUGGUCAAAUUUGUAGUUCAGCGCGCCAAGCUCAGACUUGUAUGAUGGUGUGUAGUAUCUUGUAACUUAAAGAAAUGUAAGAAAAAUGUCCAGUUAUUUUGGAGGAUUCUCAGGACUUUCUUAAGUUAAAAUUUGUAUUUUUCUUUCUCAUACUAGUUAGCUAGCUCAGCAUGUACAUGAGAAGAGAAAUAGGGCAUAGCUAAAUCCAAAAUUCUGGAGCGACAAUCUUAACUUCGUUUGUCACAAAAGAAAUGCAGGGGUGGCAAUAUGGACUUUGUCAAAUGGGACGCACUCUUCCAACGAAGUCAAAUAGGACUGCCCGUCUCUAUAGAAGCCGCAUGCCUAUAUAGAUGUGCAGCUUCUUCUCCGAUCACACAAACAUUUCAUCGCCUCCUAAAGCAGCAUCGGCCACUACCACCGUCUCUUCCUCACCUAGCUAGCGAACGAGAACGACCAUGGCGUCCCAGGCCAUCGAGAGCCACCGUGCAGGCGCUGAGGUCGUCACCGGAGGAGACGCAAUCUGCAGGAAGAAGUCAAUCGAGCUGCUGGAGGAGCUCGGCCUCCCCAAGGGCUUCCUGCCUCUUGAGGACAUCCAGGAGUUCGGGUACAACCGCGUGACAGGGUUCAUGUGGCUGGUGCAGGGGAAGAAGAAGGUGGAGCACACCUUCAAAAAGAUCAAGCAGACCGUAUCGUAUGCCGCUGAGGUGACGGCAUUCGCCGAGAAGGGCAAGCUGAGGAAGAUCACCGGCGUGAAGACAAAGGAGCUGAUGUUCUGGCUCAGCGUCGUCGAGGUGUACGUCCCCGAGGCCUCGCUAGAGAAGGUUACCUUCAAGACUGGCACUGGCCUAUCCGACACCUUCGAUGCCUCUGCCUUUGCGCUGGGAGAGUAAUUAGCAGUCAUAAAAAUGGUUGGCUUCAAAAGACAUGCAUAAUCUAUCUUUUGUAUUUGUAAAAUUUUCAUAUAUAUUGAGAUGAGUUUGUGGUACUCAUGAGCGAUGCCCAUUGAAACAUUUCUAUGAAAUUUCUUGUUUAUCAGAUAGUUUUCUUUUAAAAUAUCUCACUUCAAAACAUUAAAAAUAAACGUCCCCGUAUUCAUAGAUGAGUUUUUAUAUUGGAGCAUAUAGGUACGUAUUUAUUACUGUUGAGUUUGUGAUCCAAAUUCUGAAGAAGGCGGCCAAGUUAGCGAGCGAAGCGGAGGCCCGUCGCCCAAAAGUCGGAGGUAUAGCUAUAUCUAAGGCUACAUACAUACUUGCAAGUAUUAUGCAGUGUGUGAGGCUACAACACCUACCAACUAUGUUGGACACGACAAUGUAGGACAUUGCUAUAGUCAAGCUUGAGGCAGCAGUAUACCAUGAGUACUAUAUAGUGUGUGCACCUAUAGCAACUACCAAAGGCGCUUACAAUACAACAACUAUGAUAAAAUGGGAGUAGUUUGACUUUUGGUGGGUGAGGCACGCCAUCGAGGCAGGAAUGUAACUCUCCACUAUCUUGUGAUAUAAAGAGAAGUCAUAAAGCAACGUAGAAACCAGACACAUUUCCAUUUAGGUCACGAAGGUUGCAUCCAAGUGUCAUGACCAGGGCUAAGAACACACUAGAGUCGCAACUCGCAAGGGCUACUUUAGGUUGCAACCGCCAAAGUCCAGAAGUGUUGAAGUGCAUGUUUCUAGAUCCUCUCGUUAGCUCAGUUAUCAACUAAAUAUGACAACCUUUCGUAUUUGCUUCUAUACAUAUAUCGUACAAAAAAUAUAGGGUAUUACGCUCAGAUGGCCUAAAACUAUUUAUAUGAUAUAUGUGAAAACUAUCGUGUUAGUGUUUUAUGGCUAAGCUUACAUCUUUUCUCUGAUUUUCUUUGGUACCCUUGGUAUCAUGGUGUCGUAUCCCAUGGUAGUAGCCAUCUAGUCUAAUUAAAUAACGGCUCACAAGCAUUUGGGUGUACCACAACAAAGAAGUUAUGUCAAGAUCAAAGCAUACAAGAUUUGCUAAAGGGGAGAGAUUUUGAAAUAAAAUGACAUCAUCUAACAUGUUAAUUACCGUAGCACAAAAGCUGGGCAAAACGUUGUUGAUCUGGCUCAGAUCGUUCGUUGUUGAUUUUGGUAAUCUCGUCAAUCUGGCAGAAAAGAAAUACAAGAAUCUUAUAUCGCAGAUUCUCGAGUUGGCAGCAAAAUGUUAUAAAAAAUUAAUUAUGAGGUGGCGACCUAGAAGGUGGCAGGGGCCAGACACUUGUCAGUCCCCUUAUCCUUUUCUUAGAUGCUUUAUUAACUGUGGGUUGCUUUUGUUUCUUGCUUUCAUCUGGCUAGUGCCCACGAUCUUAGACUUGUUGAUUUAAACCCUUUUAGCCUAUCAUUUUCCUCCUUAUCAAUAUAUUAGGAAGAUUUCCUGCCUAUUUCAGAAAAAGCUGGACAAAGAUUUUUUAAUGUCGGAUCCACACUCUCUAACUCUUCAAGUCAUAGUCUGAAUUGUUGUCUCCUCGUUUAGAGAAACUCCAAUAAUUCUCUAAAUCUUAAAUUUAAAAAGUGAAUAGAAAAACGCUUCUCUAAUAGUUCUUGAAAUGGACUUGCUAAAUUUAGUUAUUUGCUAUCCAACCUCAUUUACUCUCCAGAUUUGGCAGCUCGAUAACAACUCUCUAAACGCAGUUGUCGCCGAUUUCUUCACACCUACGUGUUCAUUUUCCCUUUUCCCACACAACGACUAGCCAGGCCCGACGUGCUCUUUUUGUAUUGUCGCGAGGCAGCCAUGUUCGACACGCAUGAAACAACCUUCUCCUCUGUCAUCACACAAUCGGUCACCCAUAGGUCACGUCACCGGACUAUCACUUCCCAGUGGGAGCAGGUCUAGCAAAACUAAAUUCAACGGGAGUAGGCCUAUGAGAAAUUGUUGGAGGCCAAACUAUUUUUUACUCUCAAUAGCUAUUUAGCAACUUGCUAAACAUAAGUUUAGAGAGCUUUUUAAUAGAGAACUAUUAGAGUUACUGAAAAGGCUAAAACCAAUGUUUCAGUUAAGAAAGCUUUCAAUGCUAACUUCUGCUUAUGUGCCUUUUAGACCACACAUCCUCUUGAGUACAAGGAACACUUAUCUUUCAAGUUCAUGUAAUAGUAAAUGAUGUUUGCCAUCUUUUCAUGUGUGAUGCCAAUACAUGACCGCUAAAACCGCAUGGCUUCUUUAACUGAAACUGUAUUUUUUCCCUCACUGUUUGCAUAGUCAACAACAUCCAAACCUCACCAAUAAUCUACUAUAACAAUUUGUACCACAUCAAACUGUAGCAGUUCUCAACAAACAAAAGCAGAAAAUAAAGGGAGAAAAACGCAGACCACAACAUGUCUGCCCAUGCAUCAAGUGCUGAAAGUGAGUAUUGUAUGUCGCCCGUUGCGUUCUAGAGUCAGGUGAAGACUUGAUUCGACUUCGGCAUUACAGAACUUUCUUAAGUUAAAAAAUGUCCUUUUCUUUCUUAUACUAGUGAGCUUGCUCAGAAGGUAUAUGUUCUGAUUUAAAACAUGAGAAGAGAAGCAGGGCAUAGCAAAAUCCAAAGUUCAGGAGCGUCAAUCUUGACUUCGUUUGCCACAAAAGAAAUUCAGGGGUGGCAAUGUGGACUUUGUCAAAUUCGACGCUCUCUGCCAACGAAGUCAAAUAGGACUGCCCGUCUCUAUAGGAGCUGCAUGCCUAUAUAAAUGUGUUGCAGCCCCUUCUCCCAUCACACAAACAUUUCAUCGCCUCCUAAAGCAGCAUCGGCUACUACCACCGACUCCUGCUCACACAGCUCGUACUGUGCAGCACAUAGCUAGUGAACGACCAUGGCGUCCCAGGCCAUCGAGAACCACCGUGCCGGCGCUGAGGUCGUCACCGGAGACGCCAUCUGCAGGAAGAAGUCAAUCGAACUGCUGGAGGAGCUCGGCCUCCCCAAGGGCUUCCUGCCCCUCGUGGACAUCCAGGAGUUCGGGUACAACCGCGAGACAGGGUUCAUGUGGCUGGUGCAGGGGAAGAAGAAGGUGGAGCACACCUUCAAAAGGAUCAAGCAGACCGUGUCGUACGCCACUGAGGUGACGGCAUUCGCCGAGAAGGGCAAGCUGAGGAAGAUCACCGGCGUGAAGACAAAGGAGCUGAUGCUCUGGCUCAGCGUCGUGGAGGUCUACGUGCCCGAGGCCUCAUCGGAGAAGGUUACCUUCAAGACUGGCACUGGCCUAUCCGACACCUUCGAUGCCUCUGCCUUUGCGCUGGGAGAGUAAUUACCAGCCACAAAAAUGGUUGGCUUCAAAAGACAUGCAUAAUCUAUCUUUUGUAUUUUAAACUUCCAUAUAUCUUGUGAUGAGUUUAUGACCCAUAAUCAAGGGCCGUGCCCAUUGCAGACAUUUCUAUGUAUUUCCUUGUUUAUCAUAUAGUUUUUAAAUAUCUCACUUCAAAACAUUAAAAAUAAAUGU
rnacentral:lncRNA from 1 species